UGGGGAAUAUUGGACAAUGGGGGAAACCCUGAUCCAGCAAUGCCGCGUGUGCGAUGAAGGCCUGUGGGUUGUAAAGCACUUUCGUUGGGGAAGAAAUUCUCAGAGUUAAUAUCUUUGAGAGCUGACAUUACCCAAAGAAGAAGCACCGGCAAACUCUGUGCCAGCAGCCGCGGUAAUACAGAGGGUGCAAGCGUUAAUCGGAGUUACUGGGCGUAAAGGGCGCGUAGGCUGAUAUUUAAGUCGAUUGUGAAAUCCCUGGGCUUAACCUAGGAAUUGCAGUCGAUACUGAGUAUCUUGAGUAUGGUAGAGGAAAGUGGAAUUCUCGGUGUAGUGGUUAAAUACGUAGAUAUCGAGAAGAACACCAGUGGCGAAGGCGACUUUCUGGACCAAUACUGACGCUGAGGCGCGAAAGCGUGGGGAGCAAACAGG
rnacentral:rRNA from 1 species